CCUACGGGCGGCAGCAGUGGGGAAUAUUGCACAAUGGGGGGAACCCUGAUGCAGCGACGCCGCGUGAGUGAAGAAGUAUUUCGGUAUGUAAAGCUCUAUCAGCAGGGAAGAAAAUGACGGUACCUGACUAAGAAGCCCCGGCUAACUACGUGCCAGCAGCCGCGGUAAGACGUAGGGGGCAAGCGUUAUCCGGAUUUACUGGGUGUAAAGGGAGCGUAGACGGUUAUGCAAGUCUGAAGGGAAAGCCAAAGGCUCAACCAUGGGACUGCUUUGGAAACUGUAAAACUGGAGUGCAGGAGAGGUAAGCGGAAUUCCUAGGGUAGCGGUGAAAUGCGGAGAUAUUAGGAGGAACACCAGUGGCGAAGGCGGCUUACUGGACUGUAACUGACGUUGAGGCUCGAAGGCGUGGGGAGCAAACAGGAUUAGAUACCCGGGUAGUC
rnacentral:rRNA from 1 species